AUGGUGACAUGUCAACUUUACCACCAGCUUCAGUUAGUUGUAGCUUCAGUUAGGUUUAGAAAUUAACUGUAAAACUUAACUUUGGCAGAUUUACGCGAAGCUUGGCUCACGAUGUCUUUCUCCGUGAGUCAGAGGCUGCUGUCAGCUGCUGUCCUGAAAGACUGCAUGGACCUACUGGACAUCCUGGAACUUUCCAUUUCCAACCAGAUCAUGAAGGACAGACCAAGCUCACAGGUCCCCAGCCGGGAGACAGCCCGGCCUCCUGGAGGAGAUUAAAGGACAAGUCCGCUCAUAUUCAGAAUGCAAACUACAAACAGUAUUUUAGAUAGGAAAUUAUUAAAAACUGUUCAAUAAAUGAUAAGUGAAGUCAUAAUUAAAUUUCAAAUCAUUCUGGCUUAAA